AUGAAAGUCACAUGCAGGUUGGAGUUCUGUUCUUAGCAUUUCUCCUGAAGUUGACGAGCUGCAAACACUGAAUCUAUGGUCCUGCAUCCUUUCCUGAAGCCACACACUCAGACUCUUCUGAUUCCAGCGUUCUGUCCUUUCUCGUGGUGGAGGAGGGACCUCAUUCAAAUGUUCUGCCUGUUUGACUGGGAAUGGAGAUAAAAAUCAUGCAAAUCCUGAGCUAAUACAGAUCUUGGAGACUGAGAUGGAUUAUUUUCUGAGUUGCUCAUCAACAGAAUUAUUACAUUUCAAAUGCAGAAUCUUUACUUUGUCUACAGAAACACUUUACGGGAUCAAGAAUGCUAAACAAUUCCUCUGGAAGCAGGUUAUUCAAUGGAUCGUUAUAGAGUUACUUGUUGCAGAGAGAAUCAAACCAGGGAAGGAGGCAGGAAAUCAGGAAAAAAUAAACAUGAAGGGAAAAGAGACAGAUGGUGAAGAGGAAGUAAAGAGAGGACAGCAGAAAUACGUAUCUAGCAUUGUUAUGCUUGUACAUGGAACACUGAAAAACAACUCCUUCCCCCACCCGCACCCUCAAACAACUAAGGAAAAUCAUAGAAAAGAGACAGAUACUGGGUGAAAGAAAAGCAAGCCAAACAAUUAAAAGAAAUCCUGGAGAGGGCAGAAUGUUGUGGAAAUAGAGGAUAUUAAAGGAAAUAGCAAUAAAUACUCUAGGAAAAAUUAGGAAAAACAGACAAAAUAAAUAACAGUCCCCUAAAAAAUGGGACCAGUGGCUGGAAGUUGUAGAUAGAAAAAUUCAGACUGGAAAUAAGGUGUACAUUUUUAAUCGUGAGGGUAAUUAACCACUGGAACAACUUACCGAGGAUCCUGGUGGAUUCUCCAUCACUGAUGAGUUUUAAAUCAAGACUGGAUGUUAUUCUGAAAGAUACGCUCUAGGACGUAUACUGGGGAAGUUCUGUGGCCUAUGUUGUACAGGAGGUGAGAUGAGCAUAAUGGUCCCUUCUGGCUGUGGAAUCUGUGAAUCUCUACAUCUACUGGAUAAUGGAAGCAUGAGUACUGAGCACCACAGGUUUAUAAGGCUUGAUCCUGCUUAAUGAAGUCAAGGGAAGUUCAAUCAGGUUCGAUCAGGCCCAUAAAGAACAGCUCAUGCCAGCUAGUUAUGAUAACGUUAGGGGCCUAACUCCCAGCUGCUCGCUUUUGUAAAUCUCACUAGACACCUACCUUCAUCUUUAGGUGCAUAAAUAGCUUUGUAAAUCUGGCCUGAAGUUAACACAAUACUGGAAUUUUAGUAAACUGUUAAAGCUAGACAAUGGCUUCUAAGUGUUGCUUAUAAUAUUGAUUCCGUUUGGAUUUGGUAUGAGCACUGUGUCACAUAGAUUCAAAUGUAGCUAAAGAACUGUAAAGUAAGGGUGGUGAUUAAGGGCAAUGUACAGAGUUGGGGAAGAAGGUGCCCUACGUCGAGUCUUAAUAUUUUCAUUUUUGAUCAGGAAAUGGGAGUAAACACUAUGUUAAUGAAACUUAUAUACCAUAGUACAUAAGAAGGUAUUUGCAACAUCAGUGAGGUCAGAGAAAUAAUACAAAAGGAGACAGAGAUUAGAAAUGUGCAAUAAAUAAACAAAUCAGAUCAAAUUCAGCAAAAAAAAUGCUAGUUAACAAAUCAAGGGAAAACAAUCCCAAACUAGCGAUGGUCAGAAUAUUCAAUGUGAAUAAUAUUUGUUAUGAUUUUGGUCUGCUUUUAUAUUUUGAAUAUUUGUAUUUGCUGAAUAUCUUAUUCUUAGGUGAGCAAAUUUCAGCCUAUUGGUUAUUUUCAAACUGCUUACCACAAUUAUUUGCUAUUUGUGUUGUGAUCGGUUGCCUUAGUCACAUAAUAUUGUGCAUGGUCCCUGG